CACACCGCCCGCCACACCAUGGGAGUUUGUUGCACCAGAAGCAGGUAGCUUAACCUUCGGGAGGGCGCUUGCCACGGUGUGGCCGAUGACUGGGGUG
rnacentral:rRNA from 1 species